UGCAACUUCGCGCGGCUUAAUUUAAGACAUUCGAUCAGAGCCGCUACUGCGGAGUUCGCACGUAAUUGCGUCAGCCUGAUGCGAGAACACCUCGAAUCUCUUGUACAUCCUCUCCUCUGUCGCUGUGCUGCGCGACUCGCGUGGGAAGAAAAUAAAAAAUGCUUGUCGAUCGCGCGGCAGUACAGAUUCGACGCCAUGAAGAAUUAAGGAAUAAUAAAACUUGAUCGAGGUGCGGUAUACGGGGAAUAAAAAGGGAGAGGUCUGCUGCUUACGUUUGCCGAGCGAUGAGUAACAGCUGCGAAUGACGUAAGGAGAAGGGGAGACAAAACAUAACUCUUGAGGUUGAUCUACAGAGCUAAUUUACGAAGGACCGAUACAGGGAUACAGUUGAGGGAUCGUAAAACAGAGAAAGAGACAAAUAGAGAGAGAGAGAAGAAAAGAAAAAUUGAUCAGUGGACGUAAAUACAGUUGAUGUCGAUAGGGCAAAAAAGGAAAGAGAAAAGUGUGUACGGGGGUAGUAAAAAAAUCAUAAUCAAACGAGUGAUGAAGGGCAGAGAGAUAUAAAUAUAUAGAUAGGGUCUCUAAGGUAUGUCUGAAUGAGUAUAUAUUUCGUAUUGUUGUAGGUUCAAUUAAUAAACGGACAGACAGCUACUGCUAAAACAAAUAUACGCAACAAUUACGGUAUAAUACGGUUUUACACUAUAUAUAUAUAGAGUAUAGGUUAUGUAUACGCAGACUGAAAGCGACACAGCUAGAAGCUUUUGGUGAGGCUAUAUACGUAAGUAUGUACAAAGUAUAUUAAUUGUACGUUAUACAUAUAUCUGGCUAUAUGUAAGGCAAACUAGGUUAUCUAAUUGUCGUAAAAAAACUAUGUUAUACACUCUGCUUUGAAGAAAAUCAAUUUUCAUCACUUUAAUAGCUAGAGGAAAAUUGUCGUGAGCAAAGAAAAGGAGCAUGAAAGUAUAGAAAGAGUUGAAAUUAGAAAUAGAUAUGCAUAUUGCAGAGGUUAUCAAAUAAAGCCGGUUUAAAAGCAUAUAUACUAAUUCAUCUUCAAUAUCGUACUAAGUAUAAUGCGACUACAAGCGCAACGAAUGCUUUUGUCUAAAAUGUAAAAACAUACUAACUCCGUUCAGACAAUUUUCCAAAGUACAAAUCAUCGUUAAUCAGAAUAGUUAAACGCGGUAUAAUAUAAAUAAUAUACAUACCUACGCUUUCGGCAAAUCUUUCAAAUCAAAACAAAGGAAAAUGUCUUGGUAUAAAAAUGUGACUAGAAAACUAGAAAUAUGUGAAAAAGAAAAAAAAUCACCUGUAUCCCACGACAAGCGCAAAGCGUAGUGCGAUAUGUACACAGUUUCAUUCGUUUUUUUUUAUAAGUUUUUAUUUUUUAUUUAGUUUUAGUAUAUGAAGAAUUAAAUUAAGAGGUCAGCGAGAGUCCGAGAUUGGUCGUUUUCAUUACAUUCUCAUAUAUUUUUCUCCCUCGUUUUUCCUCGCUCUUUCGGAUACACUCGUGGCUGAGAGAAAGCUUUACAGUAGCAGAGGAUAUAUAUAUAUAUAUAUAUAUAAUAGACGGAGACAGAGGAUAGACAGAGACAAAGAUAGAAAAAAAUUUCUCGGCUAUAGCUCUUUUAUUUUUUUUUGUCGUUGGUAUACAUUAGCUUGUUUAUGCAAUAUACAAAUUGCGAAGUAUAGAGUGGCAGGAAGUAUGCAUUUUUUAUUCAUCGUUAAAAUACGACAGUGUUAAUGGCAGUAAAGAGCAGUAGAGAGCGAUUAAACAAAAUAAAUAAAGUAUGAAGUAAAAAACAGCUAGUAUAGUAGACAAGUAGUAGAG